rnacentral:rRNA from 1 species
UAGGGAAUCUUCCGCAAUGGGCGAAAGCCUGACGGAGCAACGCCGCGUGAGUGAUGAAGGUCUUCGGAUCGUAAAACUCUGUUAUUAGGGAAGAACAAAUGUGUAAGUAACUAUGCAAGUCUUGACGGUACCUAAUCAGAAAGCCACGGCUAACUACGUGCCAGCAGCCGCGGUAAUACGUAGGUGGCAAGCGUUAUCCGGAAUUAUUGGGCGUAAAGCGCGCGUAGGCGGUUUUUUAAGUCUGAUGUGAAAGCCCACGGCUCAACCGUGGAAGGUCAUUGGAAACUGGAAAUCUUGAGUGCAGAAGAGGAAAGUGGAAUUCCAUGUGUAGCGGUGAAAUGCGCAGAGAUAUGGAGGAACACCAGUGGCGAAGGCGACUUUCUGGUCUGUAACUGACGCUGAUGUGCGAAAGCGUGGGGAUCAAACAGG